GCGUCGGUUGCCCCGGCAAUGGGCUCUGCGGCUGAGGCCCACACACCCAGAAGGUGGAGUCGGGGCUGGGUCUCAAGGACCACCCAUCUGUUUAGUAAAGUGUCCGGAUGGUAGAAUGUAACAACGAGAGGAAAAGAAGAAAGUGGGCAAAUCCGGCAAGGAUUUGAAGUGAGAGUGAAGAGAGAAACUUCAACACAGAAGAAGGAGGCCUCCAAAGAGAAACACACCUAUGGAACAGAACAGUGGACACAGCGGACUGCAGUGGCUGCCUCCAAAGAGUGCUGGGAAUACAUGUGUGACCACCAUGCCUGACUACAUUUGUUGAUGCUUGAAGCCUGAGAAUCCACAAAAGGAAGUCCUGAUAUGAGAAGCUAUUGGAAAAUAAAUUUUAAAAGGGGCAAAUAAAUAACUAUUUGAGGACUCCAUCUCAGAAUAUAACAAAUUAGCAAAAAUAAAGCAACCAAGCUGCUACAAACUCAGUAUGCUCAUUGCUUUAAAUAACCUCAUAUAAAACCAGGCCUUGUCUUCCCACCUGUUUAGCCCUGUGCAUUCCUUCGUUAUCCAAAAAUAACUGAAAAAUAAUGUUAAAAGACUUUCUGCAGUCCCUUAAGAAAAGACCAAAGGGGAAUUACAUUCACAACACUGCACAUCUCCUGGAAUUAUCUUCCCAUCUCUGUCUGCUCAUCCUCCCACACUUGGCACUUGUUUCCCUUAAGCUCUCUGUUCUCCCCUGCCAGACUCUAAAUCUCAAAUUCUGUGGCUGAUUCUCCCCUUCAUAGCUCAGUUCUUAUGUAGCUCUACGUAAAUGUUUUAUUUUUCUUAAUUAUUAUAUUUUUUGCUUGUUUGUUUGCAGUGCUGAGGAUCAGUCAGAGCCUCAAACAUGCUAGGCAGCACUUCCACCAAGUCACCCCCUAGCCCAGAGAUGUUUUAUUUCACUCCAUGUCACAUAGAGGCACGUGGCAGAGCAGGCUCCCCGGCUGCUUCCAAAGGAACACAUUCCCCAGCGACCCAGCCCAG